rnacentral:rRNA from 1 species
UACGUAGGGACCAAGCGUUGUUCGGAUUUACUGGGCGUAAAGGGCGCGUAGGCGGCGCGGUAAGUCACUUGUGAAAUCUCUGAGCUUAACUCAGAACGGCCAAGUGAUACUGCAGUGCUAGAGUGUGGAAGGGGCAAUCGGAAUUCUUGGUGUAGCGGUGAAAUGCGUAGAUAUCUGGAGGAACACCGGUGGCGAAGGCGGCGAUCCUGGACCAAUAUUGACGCUGAGGAGCGAAAGCCAGGGAGCAAACGGG